AAUGAUGUGCCUGAAUAAAGGAUUAUCUUGAUAGGAUAGAUUAGUAACAAAAAUUACCAUCAUUA
rnacentral:tRNA from 1 species